CUUUUGUGAUUUAUCACACGAAUUCAUUUUUCGAGGCCUACAACACCAAUUUGUCAUUUUUAUUAUGAAUAAUUAUCAUAUAAAGUUGUUUGCUCUGUGAUGCGAUAAGACGACCCAAUUUUGUUUUUUGCAUUUAAAAAAUACCCAAUUUUGUAUUAGUCCCGCCUACUGACUGCGCCAAUUAAAAACGAAAAAAUGCUCUUAUAAAAAAGUAUUACAACUGUCAGAAAAUUGGAAAAUAAAUGAAUUGGAAAAACUAUUAUACAAAAAUAGAUAUAUCAACCUUAUAAUAUAUACAAAAAAUAAUACUUUUAAGAGUAAUUACCUAUAAUUAUACUUACUAAGUUUUUUGUGUCUUUCAAAAAUUAAGACUCACACAGAAAUCAACGUUUGCUAUUUAAUUUUAAACAUUUUAUAUUUUUCUUUAUAAAUGUAAUUUUUUUCAGAAUUUUUCUAAAAUUCAUUAGGUAUAAUCAAAAUUAAUUAAUUAAUUAUAGUAUUGAACCACUGCACGAAAUAAAAAAUACGUAAAUAAAGUUGUAGGCAGGUAGUACUAGACCCCAAAAAUAUUUAUAUUUACUUAAAAAUAUAUUGAAAAAAAAUAUUAUAAUAUUCAAAAAAAAAAACUAUCAAAGGAGCUUUGAAGCUUGUUUUAUAUUUAUUACUAACUAUUAAUAUCUUUAAAUACAAUUAUUCUGUAUUAGUAAAAAUUGUAGAAAAAAAUUGAAAAUAAUGUACAUUUAUUGAGAAAAAUAAUAAUAAUAAUAAUAAUAAUAAUAAUUUAUUUGUGGCAGUAAAACAGUUACAAUAUAAUUAGUUACAACAAGAAAAAAAAAUACGAUAACAAAAUUAAAAUUUUCUACAAGUUGUUCUUACCAUAAAUUGUACCAAAAGGCAGCAAAGCUAAUCAAGGUUUUGGCCCAGACAAUAAAUGAGAAAUAACAAAAAAUAAAAAUAAACAAUGUGAUUAAAGAAAAAUAAAAAAUAUAAUAAUAAAAAAAUAUCUAAUUCUAUUUAACAAAUUUAUAGAGACGAAAAAAAAAUACAUAAGAAAAAUAGAAAAAUCAUUUUGUAAAAAACAUUUUGUAUUUGUGCUUAAAAUUCAAUGGCUGAUUUCUGUGUGAUUAUUAGUUUUUGAGAUAGGUUACUGGUAUCUAGUAAAAACUACUCCAAGUAGUAGUAGAGUAGAGUUGUCUUGUAGAUUCUAAAAAUUUUUUGUGAAUAAUAAUUUUAAUAAUUCUAGGAAGUUUUUUUAAUUUUGAAAAAAAUUACUAUAAUGUCGUUUAAAAAAACAGACUAAUAAAUAUAUAUAUUUUUUAUAGUUAGGUAUUUUUCUCUGAAACGCCUUAGAAUACAUACGGUGAAAAAAUUAGAGAAAGGGAUUAUUUCAGCUGAAGUUGAGGACUUAUCGUGGUAUAAAAUUGCGGCUGAACUAUUUAUUUUUCAGGAAUUCUUCAUUUCGUAGAAAUUUUUCUAUAUAUAUAUUUACAUUAUUUAUUGUCGGCUACCGUUUUUCUCCUCAGGUAGGACCACUUUUGGUUAUAUUAAUAUAAAUAAGUCAUCAGUAACCAAAUCGCUUUUAAAAAAUGUCGUGUAUAUUAAUUAAUAAUAAUUAGUUAUGUAUACAUUUCAGUAGGCGUCCGAACACGUAUUUACAUAUUCAUAAUACUCCAAUUACAACACUGUCCUAGAGAAAAUAAUUUCAUUUAAAUCUUUGCCUGCUUAGCAUAAUUGGAUAACUAAAAGUUUGACAAUUCGAUAAAUUAUCGUAAAUUUAUGUCUUGGGUGGAGACAAUUUUUGACAUUCCACACUCCAGCCUUAAUAAUUAAUUUUUUGUCCUUGCUCUGUCGAUAAACUUUUAAUUAUUCAAUACUGAAAACAUUUAAUCUGUUUUAUGGUGGUGUAAAUACGUUAGGGAAUUGAUUUGGCUGACGUAACUUUAAAUAUGGAUCAGCUAAUGUCUAGAUUAUUAGCACCCUGAAACCGAACUCCCCUGCCACUUUUGUUGCCAAAGCAGCGAUUCGAGCCGAUGACUUAGCACUAUAAAUAUUCAGAACGAUACAGUCAUCAUCAAUCAUUUAAUUAUUACUGGAGAGACUACUAUGGAGACAUCCCUGAUGAUGCUUUCCCUGCAGGUUACGACCGAAACCUAGAACCCACCUACAUUGGCCAACUCUUUGUUUUAAACCAUGGACUUUUAACCACAAGAAUUUACAAGGGACAAAAGUGUGUCACAGCUUCUAAAGAAGGCAUUCAUACUUCAUCUGAAGCCAUCAAGAUUUUGUGUAGCACUCAAGCGGAGAAAUUCCGCUGGAUUCCUUCAACAGCUUGCGAGCUACAUGUUGAAACUAUAGGCAAACAUCUGGUCGUAGGAGGUUACGAAAAUGGUAAAAUCCUCAAUAUUGGAAGAGGUUCAUACCAAGAGGAGGUAAUUGUGGGGAAAGUCUGCAGUUACAACAUCGGAAACGCCCUAAUGUAUUUUCCUUACAAAAACGAAGAGGUCACAAUGGAUUCGUACGAAGUACUAAUUUACGACAAUAAUAAUAUUGAUGAUAUUGAUGUACGUUAAAUAAAAUAAACUUUGAAAAACUUA